AGCAGAAAUAGAUGUUUUUCUGGAACUCUCUUGCUUUUUCCAUGAUCCAGUGGAUGUUGGCAAUUUGAUCUCUGGUUCCUCUGCCUUUUCUAAAAUCUUUACUCCUUGUCAAAACACACCAGCCCCAUGAAAGGUUUCAAGUAAAAGAAAGGGCUCUGGUAGGAGAGGCUGGUACCCCACCUGGUGCUGGGGAGGAGGGAGAGCCAUCCCUUCCCAGCACUGGGUCGCAGGACACUGUGGCCCCUCUGUGCACCUCCUGUUCAGAGAGUCCAGGCCCUGAUUCUGAGGUCAUUGCUGGGAUGUACCUCUACUCCCUCAGCUUCAGUUUGGCUAUGCUGCCCCCUGCUAAUGGGAAGGAGAACCCCUAAUCCAAGCAACUGCAGGGCUGAGAGGUGGUCUUGGGGCCCCAGAUGGCAGCUCAGUCUGCCUGGCCUGGUGAGUAUAUUGGGGGUGGGGGGUGGCUUCUAGCAAGCUGAUCUGCCACCAUUUUCCCAAACACCUACCUCUGAGCAUCCCAUGGCCCCCACCCAGGCACCCAAGGCCUGCACCACCCACCAGGUCAAUGUGCUUGGUGUUCCUGUGUCCCGCCACCACACACACACACACUGCUUGUAUGAGCAGGGUGGGGAGCAGGGCUCAGAUGGUGAAUUAACCCCAGGGCAGAUGAUAGUGCCUGUCCAGGCCAGGCUUGAGGGCCUACUGGAUAGAUGUUGUUUCUCCUCCAUGUCCCCCCAUCCCCUUGAGGCAGGCCCAGGGAAGCCUGGCACUGUGGCCUGUGCCACUGAAGAUUUCUGCUUGCACCCUGACUGGUGCUCAGUGGUCAGCUGAGGAUCAGAAGCUCCUGUGAUCUUAGCAGGAGAUGGCUGGUGAGCAGCUCACCUGUGGCUGGAUUUCCUGUGUGGGAUCUUCGCUGCAGCCAGGACUUGCCUGACAGCAGGAGUUUGUGAGAGCCAGGUAAUGGACAAAGGCCAUCUGUGAGGAGGCUGGAUGGCCACUGGAUUUGGAUCUAGGUCUCCGGGAGGUGGAUGUCCAAGAGUGGG
ensembl:lncRNA